AACAAGGCACCUGUCAUGAACUGCACUUUUUAGAAACCAUCAUAAAAUGAAGAAAUUACUAUUGUCCAGCAGUUUCACCUGUCUCACUUCUUCAACAUGUGAGGAGUGGUUAAGGGACCUCAUAUAACUAAAAUCUCUGUGUUCACUUGAGAUGAAUCAUUCUUCCAGUGAGCUCCUUCCAGGAAGGAUUCCUCACAAUCCUGAGAAUAUUUCUCUUUCUCUGUACUAUUAAAGUUCUUUCUCUGUUAUUACA